CAGCAGCCGCGGGAAUACGAAGGGUGCAAGCGUUACUCGGAAUUACUGGGCGUAAAGCGUGCGUAGGUGGUGGUUUAAGUCCGUUGUGAAAGCCCUGGGCUCAACCUGGGAAUUGCAGUGGAUACUGGGUCACUAGAGUGUGGUAGAGGAUAGUGGAAUUUCCGGUGUAGCGGUGAAAUGCGUAGAGAUCUGGAGGAAUGCCGGUGGCGAAGGCGGCCCCCUGGACAAAGACUGACGCUCAGGUGCGAAAGCGUGGGGAGCAAACAGGAUUAGAUACCCCCGUAGUCCCUGUCUCUUAUAC
rnacentral:rRNA from 1 species